rfam:Oryctolagus cuniculus unplaced genomic scaffold chrTn0226, whole genome shotgun sequence.
GCGGGACUCAAACCGUGGGGGCACUUUCUGGCGUCUGGAGUAGAGUGCCGCCAGGGUUUGAGUGUUGC